rnacentral:rRNA from 1 species
AGCGAACGCUGGCGGCAGGCCUAACACAUGCAAGUCGAACGAACCUUUCGGGGUUAGUGGCGGACGGGUGAGUAACACGUGGGAACGUGCCUUUAGGUUCGGAAUAACUCAGGGAAACUUGUGCUAAUACCGAAUGUGCCCUUCGGGGGAAAGAUUUAUCGCCUUUAGAGCGGCCCGCGUCUGAUUAGCUAGUUGGUUGAGGUAAUGGCUCACCAAGGCGACGAUCAGUAGCUGGUCUGAGAGGAUGAUCAGCCACAUUGGGACUGAGACACGGCCCAAACUCCUACGGGAGGCAGCAGUGCGGAAUCUUGCGCAAUGGGCGAAAGCCUGACGCAGCCAUGCCGCGUGAAUGAUGAAGGUCUUAGGAUUGUAAAAUUCUUUCACCGGGGACGAUAAUGACGGUACCCGGAGAAGAAGCCCCGGCUAACUUCGUG